rnacentral:rRNA from 1 species
GAUGAACGCUGGCGGCGUGCCUAAUACAUGCAAGUCGAGCGAACGGACGAGAAGCUUGCUUCUCUGAUGUUAGCGGCGGACGGGUGAGUAACACGUGGAUAACCUACCUAUAAGACUGGGAUAACUUCGGGAAACCGGAGCUAAUACCGGAUAAUAUUUUGAACCGCAUGGUUCAAAAGUGAAAGACGGUCUUGCUGUCACUUAUAGAUGGAUCCGCGCUGCAUUAGCUAGUUGGUAAGGUAACGGCUUACCAAGGCAACGAUGCAUAGCCGACCUGAGAGGGUGAUAGGCCACACUGGAACUGAGCCACGGUCCAGACUCCUACGGGAGGCAGCAGUAGGGAAUCUUCCGCAAUGGGCGAAAGCCUGACGGAGCAGCGCCGCGUGAGUGAUGAAGGUCUUCGGAUCGUAAAACUCUGUUAUUAGGGAAGAACAUAUGUGUAAGUAACUGUGCACAUCUUGACGGUACCUAAUCAGAAAGCCACGGCUAACUACGUG